GUGCUCGCUUCGGCAGCACAUAUACUAAAAUUGGAACAAUACAGAGAAAUUAGCAUGGCCCCUGCUGCAAGGAUGACAUGCAAAUUCUUGAAGCAUUCCAUAAAAAGAAAAAAAAUUUUU
rfam:Nomascus leucogenys chromosome 16, whole genome shotgun sequence.